UCGUACAGGUCUCCGUAGGUGAACCUGCGGAGGGAUCAUUACACAAAUAUGAAGGCGGGCUGGAACCUCUCGGGGUUACAGCCUUGCUGAAUUAUUCACCCUUGUCUUUUGCGUACUUCUUGUUUCCUUGGUGGGUUCGCCCACCACUAGGACAAACAUAAACCUUUUGUAAUUGCAAUCAGCGUCAGUAACAAAUUAAUAAUUACAACUUUCAACAACGGAUCUCUUGGUUCUGGCAUCGAUGAAGAACGCAGCGAAAUGCGAUAAGUAGUGUGAAUUGCAGAAUUCAGUGAAUCAUCGAAUCUUUGAACGCACAUUGCGCCCUUUGGUAUUCCAAAGGGCAUGCCUGUUCGAGCGUCAUUUGUACCCUCAAGCUUUGAUUGGUGUUGGGCGUCUUGUCUCUAGCUUUGCUGGAGACUCGCCUUAAAGUAAUUGGCAGCCGGCCUACUGGUUUCGGAGCGCAGCACAAGUCGCACUCUCUAUCAGCAAAGGUCUAGCAUCCAUUAAGCCUUUUUUUUCAACUUUUGACCUCGGAUCAGGUAGGGAUACCCGCUGAACUUAAGCAUAUC
rnacentral:rRNA from 1 species